CCUACGGGAGGCAGCAGUGAGGAAUAUUGGUCAAUGGACGGAAGUCUGAACCAGCCAUGCCGCGUGCAGGAAGACGGCUCUAUGAGUUGUAAACUGCUUUUGUACAAGGGUAAACCUGAAUACGUGUAUUCAGCUGAAAGUACUGUACGAAUAAGGAUCGGCUAACUCCGUGCCAGCAGCCGCGGUAAUACGGAGGAUCCAAGCGUUAUCCGGAUUUAUUGGGUUUAAAGGGUGCGUAGGCGGAUUGAUAAGUUAGAGGUGAAAUGUCCGAGCUUAACUCGGGAACUGCCUCUAAUACUGUUGAUCUAGAGAGUAGAUGCGGUAGGCGGAAUGUAUGGUGUAGCGGUGAAAUGCUUAGAGAUCAUACAGAACACCGAUUGCGAAGGCAGCUUACUGGACUGUAACUGACGUUGAGGCUCGAAAGCGUGGGGAGCAAACAGGAUUAGAUACCCCGGUAGUC
rnacentral:rRNA from 1 species